rnacentral:rRNA from 1 species
AUUGAACGCUGGCGGCAGGCUUAACACAUGCAAGUCGAGCGGGGGAAGGUAGCUUGCUACUGGACCUAGCGGCGGACGGGUGAGUAAUGCUUAGGAAUCUGCCUAUUAGUGGGGGACAACGUCUCGAAAGGGAUGCUAAUACCGCAUACGUCCUACGGGAGAAAGCAGGGGAUCUUCGGACCUUGCGCUAAUAGAUGAGCCUAAGUCGGAUUAGCUAGUUGGUGGGGUAAAGGCCUACCAAGGCGACGAUCCGUAGCGGGUCUGAGAGGAUGAUCCGCCACACUGGGACUGAGACACGGCCCAGACUCCUACGGGAGGCAGCAGUGGGGAAUAUUGGACAAUGGGGGGAACCCUGAUCCAGCCAUGCCGCGUGUGUGAAGAAGGCCUUAUGGUUGUAAAGCACUUUAAGCGAGGAGGAGGCUACUCUAGUUAAUACCUAGGGAUAGUGGACGUUACUCGCAGAAUAAGCACCGGCUAACUCUGUGCCAGCCGCCGCGGUAA